UGCCUCCUACGGGACGCAGCAGUGAGGAAUAUUGGUCAAUGGGCGCAAGCCUGAACCAGCCACGUCGCGUGAGGGAAGACGGCCCUACGGGUUGUAAACCUCUUUUGCCGGGGAGCAAGCCUGAGCACGUGUGCCCAGGCGGAGAGUACCCGGAGAAAAAGCAUCGGCUAACUCCGUGCCAGCAGCCGCGGUAAUACGGAGGAUGCGAGCGUUAUCCGGAUUUAUUGGGUUUAAAGGGUGCGCAGGCGGGGUGUUAAGCCGGCGGUAAAAAUUCAGGGCUCAACCCUGUAGAGCCGUCGGAACUG
rnacentral:rRNA from 1 species